AAUCAUUUCAUCAGUCCUGUAACUGAUACUGUAUGUCUCAUAUGUGUUUCUUGCUUUUAUCAUUCCAGGUUUGCCCUUGCAUCUCAUUUCCUCUGGGGACUGUGGUCCAUUGUACAAGCCAAGAUUUCAUCUAUUGAAUUUGGGUACAUGGACUACGCCCAAGCAAGGUUUGAUGCCUAUUUCCACCAGAAGAGGAAGCUUGGGGUGUGACUGUGGGGAGGACUCCAUCCACCUCAUCACUGGACUGCAUGGGGAGGCAGCAGAGCGGGGUCCCCUCUGUGCUUCGACUACUGCUCCUGUGGCAGGAGGCUUUGGGUGGCUCACUACUGAACACGUGUAUGAUACUAAAGACGGUAUUAAAAUGGAGCGACGUUUAUUUCAUCUCUUGUUUACGAUUUCACUAGGACUCAGAAACGAGAUCGGGAAGCAGAAAUAUAGUGCAAUAGUGCAACAUCUCUGAAUCCUUUUAAUCUAGAGAAGGCAUUUCAUAUUUGGGGGCUAAGGUUUCCAGUCAGAUGAGGCAAACAGCAAGAGUAAGCAGUGUUACUUGCAGGUACUUUGGUUAAUGUUGAUUUAAAUUUUCAUGAAUGUGCUGGUGAACACUGUGACCAGGCUUUUGUAGAUGGCUAUGUGUUAUAGACGGUGCUCACUCCCAAGGGACGGCAAGUGAGCAGAGAUGUACUGCGAAGUCGCCAGUCACUGCUGCAAGGUGGCCUCUGCCUGGGGCCUCCGGAAGCUGCUCCUCUACCCUCUUGGUCCCAUGGCUGAAGCUGGAGCAGCGGAUUGCUCUGGAGCAGCCAAGGCCGCCUGCGUGUGGAGCAGAGCUCUCCCCUCCUGCUGGGCGUGUGUGACACUGAUGAGUUUCACUGUACUGCAUGUGACUUCUCCCCUGCCCUUCCUCCUGAUGGAGUGCAGACAGCCAUGCGUGGCCACGGGGGCAGUGUGAGGACCUCCGUGUCUCCCGGCUCCCCUCCCAGGGGAGCCAGCUGCUUGACCUAGCUCUUUGGGCCUCUCCUGCCCUCUGCUCUGCCUGGAGUGUCGGAUCCUGUGAGUAGGCUGGGCCGCCCCUGGGCAGGGUUCUCCAAGGGCCCGGUUUCCCGGCCCUUACCUUUCCUGAUGCCCCUGACAUCAUCAUUCUUGUGGGAGACAGCAGCCUGUAUGUGGUGUGGGGCGUGGAUCGAGUGUAGCUGUGAAAUCCAUAUAUAUGAAAUGUCCCGCGGGAUACAGUCUUAGCUGACUUUUUUUUACUCUGAACUCUGAAUUGUUUUUUGUGCAUAUAUUUCUGCUACCACAGAGAUUGUACUAUACAAAUAAAAAAAU
rnacentral:lncRNA from 1 species